GCGGAGCUUGUUUUCCUCAGGACUGAGCGGGCGGCGCCAUGGAGGCUCCAGGACAGGGCUGCCUGCGUGUCCGCGGGAGGAGGACGCUCCCCGUCCGCUGUCUGAAGUUACGCCGGUUUCCCACUGCCUGCGCCCGCUUCCUGCCGGGGUGUGUGUGGACCUGACCGAGCUGGGGCCCCGGCCGGCUGGGCAGGAGGGGACUGGUGCGCUGGCGGGCCCGCUUCGACUAUUCUCCUCGCCCGCAGGGAGCGGAUUGAAUCUGACUGAGACAUAACUUCGAUGAGAUCACACUGCUAUUAAACAUCAGUAUUGAAAAUCAAAUAUUUCAUACUAUUUCUCAAUCUUGAAAGAAAGAGUAUUUCCAAAAAAAAAAAAAAAAAAAGAGGAGUUGUUAAGCUGCCCCAGAUACAUAUGCACUGGCUUGAGGACCAGCAUAUUGAAGGAACUUGAAAAUGGAAGACCACCUCCACCCUACUGCCCUCUUCAACAGAAAAGCAAUCGGGACUGGUUCCUGACAUUGUGCCCUGUGGAGCUGUCAUUACAGCUUAAUCACUCCACUCACCAGAGAACUCGACAUAUCACAUCACACGUCUUAAGACUAUUUAGGAUGAUGGCACACAUUCCAAGCCAACUUUAUGAUUUCCUUUUUGGUGAUCUCCUCCUGUUGAAAAGUAAAAUGUCCUCCCAAAGGUUGUUUUCUGACGUUGGUUAUUUUAAGUGUCCCCUAUCAGAUUGCCAUUCUCCCCUCUCUUUUCUCAUGUUCUCCUCUGAAUGGAUAUCCAUCCCUUUGUCAUCAUUUUGUCUAGUUUUCUGAUAUCCUAACCAUUCUCUUAAUUUCCAGUUCCACCUCCUGUAUACAAGGAAUAUUAUUCUGGAAGACACUUCCCUGAAACCUGAGUUUCAACAGAAACUUGGGGGCAAGGGUUCUGCCCAUACAGUGAGAACAAGCAAUUAUAACCUUAAGAGAGUAUGGGAAUUCUGAUGUCACUACUCCGUGAUUCUUUAUUUUCAGUCAAUAAAUAACAUGUACCUCUGAUGAUGGCUGUAUGGUCAGGCAACUCAAGAUGGCUUCUCUCUAUACAUCUUCUGCUUGACUGGUGCCUGCUUCACCUACACACAACUCAUAAGACUGAUCUUCCUUCAUAUUCACCCCAGGCCCCAGCUAAUGACUGUUCUAGAUUUAGAUCAGAACUCACCACUAUGCUUAUC